rnacentral:rRNA from 1 species
UACGGAGGGCGCAAGCGUUGUUCGGAAUCACUGGGCGUAAAGCGCGUGUAGGCGGCUUGGCCAGUCGGGUGUGAAAUCCCGAGGCUCAACCUCGGAACUGCACUCGAAACUGCCUGGCUCGAGUCCCGGAGAGGGUGGCGGAAUUCCCGGUGUAGGGGUGAAAUCCGUAGAUAUCGGGAGGAACACCAGUGGCGAAGGCGGCCACCUGGACGGUGACUGACGCUGAGACGCGAAAGCGUGGGGAGCAAACAGG